rnacentral:rRNA from 1 species
UACGUUCCCGGACCUUGUACACACCGCCCGUCAAGCCAUGGAAGCUGGGGGUGCCUGAAGUCGGUGACCGCAAGGAGCUGCCUAGGGUAAAACUAGUAACUAGGGCU